GGCGGCGUACCCAAGUGGCCAAGGGGGAGGUCUGCAAAACCUUUAUUCAGCGGUUCAAAUCCGCUCGCCGCCUCCA
rnacentral:tRNA from 1 species